rnacentral:tRNA from 1 species
GAGGCCUUAGCUUAAUUAAAGUGACUGAGUUGCAUUCAGAGGAUGCGUUUUAAUGGUUCGCAGGUCUU